rnacentral:rRNA from 1 species
GUUAAACGAGAAGACUUUAGAUAUGAUCCAGAGUACCACGGGACACGUGAAACCCUGUGGGAAGCAGGAGGGACCACCCUCCAAGGCUAAAUACUACCUAGUGACCGAUAGCGUAUAGUACCGUGCGGGAAAGGUGAAAAGAACCCCGGGAGGGGAGUGAAAUAGAACCUGAAACCCUGCACUUACAAGCUGUGGAAGCACAUUUCUUGUGUGACCGCGUACUUUUUGUAGAACGGGCCAACGAGUUACGUUAAGUAGCAAGGUUAAGCACUUAAGGUG